rnacentral:ribozyme from 16 species
AUAUGCUUCUUUUUUUCUAUCUUUUGUACGAUACGUUUUUUUUUUUUUUUUUUCUU